rnacentral:lncRNA from 1 species
CUACUGCCGCCAUCACUACCGCAGCAGCCGCUACUGCCGCCAUCACUACCGCAACAGCCGGCGGCCGCGUACGCCGCCUCGUCGUUGCAGGGCCUCCGUGUCGCCCUUCCCCCGCAAAUCGACCCCAGGACUCGAGCUCCUCCAGGCGGACCGGGGUUGGAGAGGAGGCAGGGCCUGGCGGCGGCGGUACUGCCGUACUGCGGUCCUACGGCGGCGGACGCCGAGGACGGUAUCAGGGCUGCAGAUGACGGUGGUUGUGGCAGCCGAGGCGGCGACGACACCGGAGCUGGGGCGGGGUCCCUAGUGCACAGACGCCACAUUUCCGCCGAAC